rnacentral:tRNA from 1 species
GUCCAUGUAGGCCAACUGGUUAGAGUCAACGAACUUAAAAUUCGUAAAGUGUCGGUUCAAAUCCGACCAUGGACACCA